AAUCUAGUAGCCAUUCGGCUCUCUUAAUCCAAUAAGACUGGCGCCCCGAGAGCAAUGCUCGACCAGGGACCUUACCUCCAGUCUGGUCACUUAAAUAUCCAAAUAAGAAAUCUAGUAGCCAUUCGGCUCUCUUAAUCCAAUAAGACUGGCGCCCCGAGAGCAAUGCUCAACCAGGGACCUUACCUCCAAUCUGGUCACUUAAGUAUCCAAAUAAGCCGGCGCCCCGAGAGCAAUGCUCGACCAGGGACCUUACCUCCGGCAAUUUACACAAAUCAGCCCAAAGAGCCAUGCUCGACCAGGGCAAACCCAUAAAUAUCUUAUUACAUGUCCAUGAUCAUUACCGGUGUACACGCGGUCCUGAUGUAACCCAUCAGGCGGCAUGUUCUACAAGCCACGUUUCCCA
rnacentral:lncRNA from 1 species